rnacentral:rRNA from 1 species
CCUACGGGUGGCAGCAGUGAGGAAUAUUGGUCAAUGGGCGCGAGCCUGAACCAGCCAAGUAGCGUGAAGGAUGACGGCCCUACGGGUUGUAAACUUCUUUUACAAAGGAGUAAAGUGAGGCACGUGUGCCUUUUGGUACGUACCUUAUGAAGAAGCAUCGGCUGACUCCGUGCCAGCAGCCGCGGUAAUACGGAGGAUGCGAGCGUUAUCCGGAUUUGUUGGGUGUAAAGGGUGCGUAGGUGGGUUGUUAAGUCAGUUGGGAAAGUUUUGGGCUUAACCCGAGGAUUGCAUUUGAUACUGGCAGUCUUGAGUACGGGAGAGGUAAGCGGAAUUCGUGGUGUAGCGGUGAAAUGCAUAGAUAUCACGAAGAACUCCGAUUGCGAAGGCAGCUUACU